rnacentral:rRNA from 1 species
GAUGAACGCUAGCUACAGGCUUAACACAUGCAAGUCGAGGGGUAACUAGAGGAAAGCUUGCUUUCCUUGUCGACGACCGGCGCACGGGUGAGUAACGCGUAUCCAACCUGCCCCCAACUAGGGAAUAACCUUGCGAAAGUAAGACUAAUACCCUAUAAUUUCCUCAGAUGUCAUCUGACGAGGAAUAAAGAUUUAUCGGUUGUGGAUGGGGAUGCGUCUGAUUAGCUUGUUGGCGGGGUAACGGCCCACCAAGGCAACGAUCAGUAGGGGUCCUGAGAGGAAGGUCCCCCACAUUGGAACUGAGACACGGUCCAAACUCCUACGGGAGGCAGCAGUGAGGAAUAUUGGUCAAUGGGCGGAAGCCUGAACCAGCCAAGUAGCGUGCAGGAUGACGGCCCUAUGGGUUGUAAACUGCUUUUAUACAGGAAUAAAGUUAGCCACGUGUGGUUAUUUGUAGGUACUGUAUGAAUAAGGACCGGCUAAUUCCGUGCCAGCCGCCGCGGUAA